UUUUACCACCUCCAUUCCCUCAUGUAUAAAUCCCAAAAUUCACAUUUUUGCUAUUUCCAUUCCCCUCAGGUGCAAUCCCAAAAUUCUCAUUUUUACCACCUCCAUCCCCCUCAUGUAUAAACCCCAAAAUCCACAUUCCCAGGCCCAUUUUUCACCAUUUUGGGGCCUUUUUUUGCCUCCAUUCCCCUCAUGUAUAAACCCCAAAAUCCACAUUCCCAGGCCAUUUUUUCACCAUUUUUUCACCAUUUUUCACCAUUUUUUGGGGCGUUUUUGUGCCAAAUCUCCCCCAUAACCCUGCUCCCUCUGUGUUUCCCCAGUGCGUGUCCUGCAACAAAUCCUUCAAGAAGCUCUGGUCGCUGCACGAGCACAUCAAGAUCGUGCACGGCUACGCCGAGAAGAAAUUCUCCUGCGAGAUCUGCGAGAAGAAAUUCUACACCAUGGCCCACGUGCGCAAACACAUGGUUGGUGAGUGGCUGGGCACGGGGAAAUUNCGAGCGGCUUCUCCUGGGGUUCACCAGAAUUCCGUCACGACCUUUAAUCGCAGGCCGGUUCGGUGGAAGGGACGGAAGGGAGAAGCCCCGGAGGUGCCACGGGCACGGGGGAUGUGAGGAACGGGAGGUUUUGGCUGGCACAGGCAGGGCAUGAUGGCGAGAGGAGCUUUGGGAAGCACCUGGGCUCUGCCCAGCUGGAAGUUCUGUUCUGUUUCCCUCCCUUCUCCGCCUGAUCUGUGCUAAAAAAUGGAUUUUUGAGAUGGUUUUGUAAAGGCUGCGGGGCUGCCAGGCGUGAUUUUCAAAGGGCUUUGUGUCUGUGCUAUCUGAUAAUUUCCCUCGUGUUUAUCAGAUGUGAUAAUUUCCCUGGCUUGGGCGUUCUCGCUCUGGUUUUACCUCUCCACCUCCCUACCUGUGUGCCAGGUGCGUUUCCCUGCUGCUUUUGUGGCUUUGGGCAGGCAGUGCAGGAGUUCCAGAUGUGACCCCAAAAUCUGGGUAUGACUGCCCUGGAAUUCCAGGUGGUCCCAAAAUCUGGUCCCAAAAUCUGGGUACAGCUGCCCUGGAAUUCCAGAUGUGACCCCAAAAUCUGGGUAUGACUGCCCUGCAAUUGUGAUCCCAAAAUCUGGGUGCAGCUGCCCUGCAAUUCCAGAUGUGACCCCAAAAUCUGGGUACAGCUGCCCUGGAACUCCAGAUGUGAUCCCAAAAUCUGGGUGCAGCUGCCCUGCAAUUCCAGCUGUGAUCCCAAAAUCUGGGUGCAGCUGCCCUGCAAUUGUGACCCCAAAAUCUGGGUGCAGCUGCCCUGGAACUCCAGGUGUGAUCCCAAAAUCAAAAUCUGGGUGCAACUGCCCUGCAAUUGUGAUCCCAAAAUCUGGGUACAGCUGCCCUGAACCUCCAGAUGUGACCCCAAAAUCUGGGUACAGCUGCCCUGGAAUUGUGAUCCCAAAAUCUGGGUACAGCUGCCCUGGAAUUCCAGCUGUGACCCCAAAAUCUGGGUAUGACUGCCCUGCAAUUGUGAUCCCAAAAUCUGGGUACGACUGCCCUGCAAUUCCAGGUGUGACCCCAAAAUCUGGGUAUGACUGCCCUGGAAUUNCUGAGAAUGGAUUCUUUCCACUCCAAGGGUUUGGAUCCUUAUCUCACCAAGAGUUUGGAUCCUUAUCUCACCAAGGGUUUGGAUUCUCCCAUUCCAAAUGUUUGGAUCCUUAUCUCACCAAAGGUUUGGAUCCUUAUCUCUCCAAGGGUUUGGAUUCUCCCAUUCCAAAUGUUUGGAUCCUUAUCUCAACGAGGGUUUGGAUCCUUAUCUCACCAAGGGUUUGGAUCCUUAUCUCACCAAGAGUAUGGAUCCUUAUCUCACCAAGGGUUUGGAUCUUUAUCUCACCAAAGGUUUGGAUUCUCCCUCUCCAAAGGUUUGGAUUCUUAUCUCUCCAAGGGUUUGGAUCCUUCUCACUGAAAAUGUUUGGAUUCUCCCUCACCAAGGGUUUGGAUCCUUAUCUCACCAAGGGUUUGGAUUCUCCCACUCCAAAUGUUUGGAUUCUCCCUCUCCAAGGGUUUGGAUCCUUAUCUCACCAAAUGUUUGGAUCCUUAUCUCACCAAGGGUUUGGAUCCUUAUCUCACCAAGGAUUUGGAUCCUUGUCACUGAGAAUGUUUGGAUUCUCCCUCUCCAAGGGUUUGGAUCCUUAUCUCACCAUGGGUUUGGAUCCUUAUCUCACCAAGGGUUUGGAUUCUCCCACUCCAAGGGUUUGGAUCCUUAUCUCUCCAAGGGUUUGGAUCCUUAUCUCACCAAAUGUUUGGAUCCUUAUCUCUCCAAGGGUUUGGAUCCUUCUCACUGAGAAUGGAUUCUUUCCACUCCAAGGGAUUGGAUCCUUAUCUCACCAAGGGAUUGGAUCCUUAUCUCACCAAGGGUUUGGAUCCUUAUCUCACCAAGGGUUUGGAUUCUCCCACUCCAAAUGCUUGGAUUCUCCCUCUCCAAGGGUUUGGAUUCUUAUCUCAUCNGUUUCCGUGUCCUGAAAUGCAAUCCCACAGUGUGGAAGCCAGGUGAGCCUUCCAGGGGAAAACAGAAUUCCAGGAGUUCCCUGGGAUGGGCAAUCUGCAAAAUCAGGGUCUGAGCUGGGUUAAAUCGGGGUUUAAACCCCUCUGAGAAUUCCCAGAGCGUUCCUGAAGGGCUGCAAUCCACACCUGCACCCCCUUCCCGGCAGGAAACCCCGCUAAUCUGCCUGGAGACACAGAAAUCUCCAUUUUUUUUUCUCUCAAAAACCCUGAUUUUCCCCAGCUUUGGGAGCUGUGGGAAGAGCUCCAGAAUUCCUGCUCCCUCUGGGGCAGCUCCGUGCCCGGGAUCUGGGGCACUGCUGCCUUCCCUGGCACCCCAAAUCUGCUGUUUUUUGCCUUAUUUUCAUCCUCCUCCUCCUCCUGGAAUCCUGGCUCCCGUUGGAGUUUUGGGCAGCUGGAAUUUGUAGGGCAAGGAGGGUUUGUUGUGUGAGGGUUUGAGCACAAGAAUUGAACGUUUUUCAUUGUUUGUUUGCUUUCAGUGCUGGGCUGGGUUGAUGCUCAGCUCCCACUGUGUGGGAGAUGUGGAAUAUUUAUUGCAAUUUCUGUUUUCCCAGCUUUGGGUAACUCUGGGCUGUUUUGUUGUUUUUUUUUUUUUCCUUAAAUUUCAGCUCCAGGAAGGAUUUGUUAAUAUAAAUUUAAUUUUUGCAGCUUUUGAAAGAAAUAUUUUUAAAGUUCAGUGCAGAGCAGGGAGGAUUUAAAUGGGAAUUUAAGAUAUGCCCCAGCAAGCAGGGGGUUCAUUCACAGCAUAGAAUCUGAGCAGGAAUUAAAAAGUAAAGGAAUUAAAGCAGGAAUUAAAAUUUAAGCAGGAAUUCCUGAAUAUUUUGAACACGUAAAGUGGUGAAAUAUCCCGUGUCCAUCUACACAUGCAUCCAAAAGGGAUAAGAAAAGGAGAAAUUAUCGAAAUUAUGGUUUAAAUCCAAAGGAAUCUGGUUCAGAAACUUGCCAGUGCCAGCAGCACUGGGAGUCACCUCAAUCCCCAGGAAUAAAUCCAGCAGUUCUUGUCCUGUCCUGCCUUUG
rnacentral:lncRNA from 1 species